AGUGAACGCUGGCGGUAGGCCUAACACAUGCAAGUCGAACGGCAGCACAGGAGAGCUUGCUCUCUGGGUGGCGAGUGGCGGACGGGUGAGGAAUACAUCGGAAUCUACUCUGUCGUGGGGGAUAACGUAGGGAAACUUACGCUAAUACCGCAUACGACCUACGGGUGAAAGCAGGGGAUCUUCGGACCUUGCGCGAUUGAAUGAGCCGAUGUCGGAUUAGCUAGUUGGCGGGGUAAAGGCCCACCAAGGCGACGAUCCGUAGCUGGUCUGAGAGGAUGAGCCGCCAGACUGGAACAGAGACACGGUCCAGACUCCUACGGGAGGCAGCAGUGGGGAAUAUUGGACAAUGGGCGCAAGCCUGAUCCAGCCAUACCGCGUGGGUGAAGAAGGCCUUCGGGUUGUAAAGCCCUUUUGUUGGGAAAGAAAUCCAGCUGGCUAAUACCCGGUUGGGAUGACGGUACCCAAAGAAUAAGCACCGGCUAACUUCGUGCCAGCCGCCGCCGUAA
rnacentral:rRNA from 1 species